rnacentral:rRNA from 1 species
UACGAAGGGAGCGAGCGUUGUUCGGAAUCACUGGGCUUAAAGCGUACGUAGGCGGAUUUACAAGUCAGGAGUGAAAUCCCAGGGCUUAACCCUGGAAUUGCUUUUGAAACUGUGAGUCUGGAAUCCGGUAGAGGUUGGCGGAACUCCGAGUGUAGAGGUGAAAUUCGCAGAUAUUCGGAAGAACACCAGUGGCGAAGGCGGCCAACUGGACCGGUAUUGACGCUGAGGUACGAAAGCGUGGGUAGCAAACAGG